rnacentral:tRNA from 2 species
CAAUGUGGCUCAGUAGGUAGAGCGGCGCACUCGUAAUGCGCAGGUCUGGGGUUCGAAUCCCCA